rnacentral:rRNA from 1 species
CGGGGGGCUGCACCAGUGAGGAAUAUUGCACAAUGGGGGGAACCCUGAUGCAGCAACGCCGCGUGGAGGAUGACGCAUUUCGGUGUGUAAACUCCUUUUAUAUGUCAAGAAAAUGACGGUAGCAUAUGAAUAAGCACCGGCUAACUCCGUGCCAGCAGCCGCGGUAAUACGGAGGGUGCAAGCGUUACUCGGAAUCACUGGGCGUAAGGGACGCGUAGGCGGGUUGGAAAGUCAGGUGUGAAAUCCUACAGCUUAACUGUAGAACUGCACUUGAAACUUCUAAUCUAGAGUAUGGAGGGGGAGAUGGAAUUAGUGGUGUAGGGGUAAAAGCCGUAGAUAUCACUAGGAAUACCUAAAGCGAAGGCGAUCUCCUGGAACAUUACUGACGCUAAGGCGUGAAAGCGUGGGGAGCAAACAGGAUUAGAUACCCCGGUAGUC